rnacentral:lncRNA from 1 species
UUAAACCUCCAAACAAAAUCUUUUGUCUCUAGUGACUAAUUGAUCCCCUCAACUAUAUUGUUGUGCACUUAGAUCCCACACUCCAAUUAGCUUAUAACAAAUCCUUCGCCCUUCAAGAGUCCUUGGCCCCAAGGACAAAGUUGGGAAACUGUUGUUUAAAUAUAUGAAGAUCCAACCAUGUAUUGUCUUCUGAAGGGCAGUUGAACCACUUCACUAGGACUUGUAUGAGCACCCUAUGACCUCUUUGUAGCUCUCUGGUAUCCACUAUUUCUUGAAACUCCAAUACAAUGUUGACCAUGAGAAGAUAACUCCACAAUCUGGAACUACAGACUUGUCACCAAUGUGUUGCUUUAGCUGGGAGACAUGAGAAGUGUUGUGGAUCUUUGCAUGGACUGGUAAUUCGAGUUGGUAAACCACUGUCCCAACCUUGUUUAGUACCUUGAAUGGUCCAAAGUACUUGGGAUUCAACUUGUGAUAGGAGUGUUCCUUCAGUGAGAGUUGUCAUAUGGCUGUAACUUGACAAACACCAUGUCCCUUUCUACAAACGACCUUGGAGACCUUUCAUUAUUUGCUUGAACCUUCAUCCUGGAUUGAGCCAAUUGCUAGUGAUGUUUAAUAAGCCUUAUGGUGCUUUCUCUAGCCUGCAAAAUUCUGUCGACCUACUCAACCAGUGAAUUGUGUGCUACAUAGGCUAGAUGUAUGGGAGAUUUCUCACCAUAUACAACUUCAAAGGGUAUCAUUUUGAUGACAAAGUGAAAUAUGGUGUAGUACCACCAUUCAGCAAGGGGAAGCCACUGCACCCAUUCUUUAGGCCUGUCAUUGCAUAUACACCUAAGGUAUCAUUCCACGCACCUGUUUACUGCUUAGGUCUGGCCAUCAGACUGAGGGUGAUAAGAUAAAGAAUGGUGAAGUUGAACUCCUUGAGCUUCAAAUUAGGCCUCCCAGAACUUGCUAAAAAAGGUGACAUCUCUGUCACUAACAAUAGUAUGUGGCAACCCAUGCAAUCUAUAACUGUUGUCUAGGAAGAGUUAUUUUACUGAUGAAGCAUUGUAGGGUGCACUAGGCUUAUGAAAUGAGCAUAAUUGCUCAACCUAUCGACCACCACCAGAAUUACAGAUUUCUUGUGUGAUUUAGGGAGCCCUUCUAUAAAAUCUAAGCUGAUGUUAUGCCAAACUUUCUCUCGGAUGAGAAAAGGCUCCAGUAGGCCUGGGUAAUUCACAUUUCCCCCUUGCAUUUCUGGAAAGUACUACAUUGUUUGACAUAUCUAAAUACACCAGCUUUCAUCUUUUUCCAAUGAUAGAACUGACUCAUCCUAUGCAAGGUGGCGGCCAUGCCAGAGUGGUCCCCUACAACACUGUCAUGAAAAAUGUGUAGGAUGUGAACUAGACUUAUGAAAUGAGCAUAGAUUUUAAAUAUGUCGACCACCACCAGAAUUAUAGACUUCUUAUGAGAUUUAGGGAACCUUUCUAUAAAAUCUAAGCUGAUGUGCUUCCAAACAUUCUCUAGGAUGGGAAAAGGCUGCGGUAGGUCUGGGUAGUUCACAUUUUCCCCCUCGCAUCCCUAGCAAGUAGUACAUUGUUUGACAUAUCUAAAUACAUCAGCUUUCAUCUUUUUUUAAUGAUAGAACUAACUGAUGUUAUGCAAGAUGGCAGUCCAAAGUGGUCUCCUACAACACUGUCAUGAAAAAAGUGUAGGAUGUCCUACCUCAGAUUAGUGUCAACACCCAUAAUAAUUUUACCAUUCCUAUACAAGACUCCAUCUCUCAACAUGAAUAUUGCAUAGGGUAAUGGUUGUUCUUCUAACUGAGUGAUCAUUGACUUUAGUUGACUAUCCAUUACAUUAGAAGCUUUAACUCUCUCUAAAAAAUCAGAGGUGACAGUAGAUAGAGUUAAUACUUGAGAUCCAACUAUUGAGCUUCUUGAUAAGGCAUCUUCAGCUACAUUUUCGUUCCCCUUCUUAUACAAUAUAGUGUAGUCAUAGCCCAUAAGCUUUGACACCCACUUCUAUUGACUAGGAGUGGACACCUUCUGCUCUAACAAGUACUUGAGAGGUUGAUGAUCUGUUUUGAUUAUAAAUUGCCUUCCUAUAAGGUAAGGUCUCCACUUAUUAAUGGUUGUCACAAUGGCCAGCAUUUCUUUCUCAUAUACUAAAAAAACAAGGACUCAGUACUUUGCUCAUAUAGGCUAUAAGAUGUUGAUCUUGCAUCAAUACAACUCCAAUUCCAUGCCCUCAUGCAUCUGUCUCGAUUACAAACUCCUUUGUUAAAUAUGAGAGGGCCAACACAGGGGUGGAAAUCAUAGCUAACUUCAAUCUUUCAAAUACUUCAGCAGCCUCCUGUGACCAACCAAACUUAUCCUUCUUCGGCAAAUUGGUGAGUGAUCUAGCCAGAACUCCAUACCCUUUAACAAACCUCAUAUAGUACCCUGUUAAACCCAAGAAAUCCCUGAGUACCUUAAUUUUUUUGGGUGUUGGCCAGUCCCUCAUAACUUAAGUUUUUCUAGAAUCAUCCGUGAGAUCUUGUUGAGUAAUGAUGUGACAAACAAGGUAUUCUCCUGUAGGAUUCUGAAAGCCUUCUCCAAAUGUAAUAAGUGUUCUGAUCAAGUAUUGCUGUAGAUAAGGAUAUCAUCAAAUAACACUAAUACAAUCUUCCUCAUAUGUGGCUGAAAUAUCUUGUUCAUCAGUCUUUGAAAUAUAGAAGGGGCAUUAGUCAAACCAAAGGGCAUGACUAUAAAUUCAUAGUGACCAGGAUGUGAUUUAAAGGUUGUCUUCCCUAUGUCUUCCUCAGCCAUCCUGAUCUGGUGAUAUCCAUAUCUAAGGUCUAAGUUAGAGAAAUACUUCGACCGCCUAAUUCAUCCAGCAACACUUCUAUAACUGGUAUUGGAACGUAACUAACUCUGGAUAAUUAAUCAAAUAAUUCUUUUUGUUCCCUCUCAGCUUUCUUAAAACGUAAGCUAUUACUUUUCUUGGUCUUUUUGCCCCCUUGUUGUGUGCACACUUAGCUUGUCUUAGUUUCCACCUAUGCCGGAGUUUUCGUGCAAUCGUACAUUACUUUUGAUUUUGCUUCCCAUUCAUUAGCCACGAUAUGUGCCACUUUCUUAUGAGGUGCAUAGAAUUUUGUAGUGGGAUUAUUAUUACAAGACCAUUUCCUCAUGUCAUUCUGCUUAGUUUGAAGCCUUCUUCCUUAUUUUGCUCAGUUAGUCUUUCAUUGUAGUACUUAGGGAGGACCCUCUGACUCUUGUAAAGCUGUGAGCUUAUUAUAGACCUUUUGAUGUCCUUCCUUACCUAUACUUGUCCGUAGUUACUUAUCUCCCUGAUCUUUGUCAAUUCUAUUAUAGCCGGAGCGCAAUAUGAAAUUCUCAUGAUGUCGAACGUUAUCAAAUCACUCAGUCCUAUAUUCAUGUUUAUUUUAUCUUGAUCACCAACCCAUACUGAUUUCUAUUUUUCGGGGUCUAAAUUUUCCUUCUAGUAGUCGUGUUGGAGUCACAAACUUAUUUCUCAAAAUAAGAAUAUGACUUUAUGGCCUAUACUAUUUUGUUAUCUCAAUGAAUGUUACCUCUCGUCCUUUCUUUCACUUGAAUAUAAACUCUGUAAUACCGCCAUCUCUUUAAUCUACCGUUGGUAUUCAUGUAUCACAUCUUACUCUUAACGCUUCAUUAAGUCUCUUCUUAUUUCCAGCUAAUAUCUAUGUCUAUCACUUUAUUCUGAAAACUCGAACAAGAAAUUCUUUUGCUUUUAGCUCCCCUUGCUCCAUCUACUGGCUCUUCAGGUUGCCUAACAUUCUCUCUACUAGGGAUGGGAGCCAUACUAAGGUAAUCCUUUCAAGGCUUCCAGUGCCUAUCUUUGAACAUUCUAGUAUUCAUAUUUUUCUGUACUAUUCUAGGGUGCAUCAUCUGGGUAUCUCACAAGGAGAUCUGCUCGCACAUUUACAAUAUCAUUCGGAAAUGUCAACUAACACAACAUUUUGGGUUACUUUAACCCCAAUUAGAUCCUGAUAUUCCGUCCUUCUCUUAACUAUAUAUGUUGGCUCCCAUGGAGCAUAACUGAAAUGAGUGUGGCCAAUUGUACAUACCUCUAUUACAAUUGAAGACAACUUUUGUUCUUGCCCUCUGCUUUGGAAAGUCUGAGAGUAUUGAUGGCAAGUUGUAGCUACGGACUCUUUCAUUGAUGGAUUUUGUUGCACCUAGGGCUUUUGCGCAGUAGAGGAUCGUUCUCGGGCCUCUCGUAGGUCUGGGGUGGUCUGUUGGCUUUCUGACAGACAAUCCAUUUUUUGUGUUUUUGCCUAGCAAGUACUAGAACUCUUCAGUUUGUUUUAUAUUUUAUUUUAUCAUGUACAGCUACACUCAAAUUCAAGAUGUGUCACUAGAUGGGAUAUCCCCGGUAACAUUCAGUAACAUGAAACUGAAAGCUGUACUAUACUUUGUUUAUACUUGAUUGUCAAAGGCCAAAGACUUUAUUUAGUUCAUAUAUAGACAAUGUGUUCGACCAACAACAACAACAACUACCCAGUAUAGUCCCACAAAGUGAGGUCUGGGGAGGGUAAUAUGUAGACGAGCCUUACCCCUACCCGAAAGGGCAGGGAGGCUGUUUCCAAUCGACUCUCGGCCAGUGUUCUCAAAAACUAUUAGAGAGUGAAAUAUAAUGGGUGAAAGCUGAAAGAUGGCUUUUGUUGUUGACCUCUGCUUUGGAAAGUCUGAGAGUAUUGAUGGCAAGUUGUAGCUACAGACUCUUUCUUUGAUGGCUUUUGUUAGCCCUUGGGCUUUUGUGCAGUAGAGGAUCGUUCUUGGGCCUCUCGUAGGUCUGGGGUGGUCUGUUGGCUCUCUGACAGACUCUCAAUCUUUUGUGUUUUUGCCUACCAAGUACUAUAACUCUUCAGUUUGUUUUAUAAUUUAUUUUAUCAUGUACGGCUGCAGUCAAAUGCAAGAUGUGUCACUAGAUGGGAUAUCCCUUGUAACAUUCAGUAACAUGAAACUGAAACCUGUACUAUACUUUAUUUAUACUUGAUUGUCAAAGGCCAAAGACUUUAUUUAGUUCAUUUGUAGACAAUGUGUUCGACCAGUUUUCACAAAAACUAUUAGAGAGUGAAAUUUAGUGGGUGAAAGCUGAAAGAUGGCUUUUGUUCUUGCUCUCUGCUUUGGAAAGUCUGAGAGUAUUGAUGGCAAGUUGUAGCUACAGACUCUUUCAUUGUCUCGGGCCCACAAACGAAGACACCGAUAUUGGAUCCCUUGGAUUCAUUAGCAAACUGGGAAAAUAUGUCUGUUCAAUUGUCAACAUGUUAGAACGCCAAUAGAUUGGAAGUUAAAUGUUAAAACAAGGACAUGGAUGUAUUUGGGACAUACCUUUAAAGAUUGGCCUUGCUCCAAAAUGGAUUUCAUGUUGAUCAAAACCUCUGUUUGCUUCUGUUGGUUUCAUCGGUUUUCUUUCUUUUUCAGAAAAUGGUGGAAUUUCUUCACUUAG